rnacentral:lncRNA from 1 species
UCACCUCGACCCGACUGCAGACAAAAACCUGAGAGAGGAGAGAGAUCAGUCAUUCAGUCACACACACCUGCUCACACACACACACACUCUCACACACACCUGCUCGCGCUGGAUGAACAGACAAAUAUGCACACAAUGAAGAGCAUUCUUAAACAUAAAACGCUGAAGAAAAACCCUCUGGUCGGUGUGGAGACUCAGAGUAGCACUAUAGGAAUAGUGCGCUGGACUCUUCCAGAGGAAUCAGUGCAGAGUCACAACACAGCCCCCUCACCAUCCCGCAAAACCAGCGCCGUCUGCUCCACACGCUCACAGCCAAAACAGAGGCAGCAGAGUCUGAAGGAUCUCCGCAGCCUUCAGGAGUGUAUUCAGUUCCUCAACCGCUGGAAGCUACAGGUGGCAGAAGUGUGUAAGAAGGAUAACAGUGCUGGGGAAGGAUGCAGUACGUGGGUCGGUGGUGCAGCAGAGAGAUGGGAAGACCCCCGGACCGAGCGCAGUCUGGAGGAGAGCCGUAAACUCAUCCUGCAGUGGGCUGAUGAACUCAACAGCGUCGACAGGUUGUGUAAAGACAGUAGAUGGAUGAAGCAGAGGUUUGAGCACAGUGAGGAAGAUGAGCAGCAGAAGAAGGAGGAUGAUGAUGGUGAAGUGCUGGAGGAGAGGCUGAUGGAAUGGGCCAGAGAGCUGCAGAGUGUAUCAGAGAGCUGUGGAGUGCUGGGAGAGGAGCUGGGCAAGACUCUUCGUCUGCUCGGCCUGAGGAAGAAGAGGCUGAUGACUUUAAUGCCCCUGCUGGAGUUCAUCACCUGGUCUUUACUGAAAGACGACAAAAAGGAUGUGAUUUCUCAGCUGUGGCUUUCGGCUAAGCAGCGCUCCUGGCAAGCAGGUGAGAAAUAUGAAGCUUAUUUCAUUUACAACUAUAUAAAAUGCUUUUAUACAGAAAAUAUUUUUUUUCUAAAAAUAUAUAUUGCAAUGUGUGUAUAUACUGUAUAUCGUUGCUGUCCUAUAAAAAACACUGUUUUUUAUGUUUUUGUAUCUCGAUUUUUAGUUUACUACAUAAUUUGAAAAGACAAACUGUCCCUCACACUGUGCCAAAAUUUCUUGGUGAACGGACCAAUAGAAACUCUUCAAAAUGACCUGAAAUGAACUCUUUUUACAUUGACUUACCUUGAAAGUUUACAAGGUUUUUUCUCUCUCCUGUAAAGUUGCUGUUUUGGAGAUAAGUGUUUUUCACUGGACAGCGAUGAUAU